CCUCCAGAGUGGAUCCUGAGUACGGCGGAACACGUGAAAUUCCGUCGGAAUCCGGGAGGACCAUCUCCCAAGGCUAAAUACUCCCUAGUGACCGAUAGUGAACCAGUACCGUGAGGGAAAGGUGAAAAGCACCCCGGAAGGGGAGUGAAACAGUUCCUGAAACCGUGUGCCUACAAGUAGUUAGAGCCCGUUAAUGGGUGAUAGCGUGCCUUUUGUAGAAUGAACCGGCGAGUUACGAUUUGUUGCAAGGUUAAGCGGAAAAAGCGGAGCCGUAGCGAAAGCGAGUCUGAAUAGGGCGCAUAAGUAACAGGUCGUAGACCCGAAACCAGGUGAUCUACCCAUGUCCAGGAUGAAGGUAAGGUAAUACUUACUGGAGGUCCGAACCCACGCACGUUGAAAAGUGCGGGGAUGAGGUGUGGGUAGCGGAGAAAUUCCAAUCGAACUUGGAGAUAGCUGGUUCUCUCCGAAAUAGCUUUAGGGCUAGCCUCGAGGUAAAGAGUCAUGGAGGUAGAGCACUGUUUGGACUAGGGGCCCUUCUCGGGUUACCGAAUUCAGAUAAACUCCGAAUGCCAUGUACUUAUACUCGGGAGUCAGACUGCGAGUGAUAAGAUCCGUAGUCGAAAGGGAAACAGCCCAGACCACCAGUUAAGGUCCCCAAAUAUAUGUUAAGUGGAAAAGGAUGUGGGGUUGCUUAGACAACCAGGAUGUUGGCUUAGAAGCAGCCACCAUUGAAAGAGUGCGUAAUAGCUCACUGGUCGAGUGACCCCGCGCCGAAAAUGUACCGGGGCUAAACAUAUUACCGAAACUGUGGAUGAACCUCUUUAGAGGUUCGUGGUAGGAGAGCGUUCUAAGGGCGGUGAAGUCAGACCGGAAGGACUGGUGGAGCGCUUAGAAGUGAGAAUGCCGGUAUGAGUAGCGAAAGAAGGGUGAGAAUCCCUUCCACCGAAUAUCUAAGGUUUCCUGAGGAAGGCUCGUCCGCUCAGGGUUAGUCGGGACCUAAGCCGAGGCCGAUAGGCGUAGGCGAUGGACAACAGGUAGAGAUUCCUGUACCAGUGCUAAUUGUUUAACCGAUGGGGUGACACAGAAGGAUAGGGAAUCGCACGAAUGGAAAUGUGCGUCCAAGCAGUGAGUGUGAGAAGUAGGCAAAUCCGCUUCUCGCGAAGCAUGAGCUGUGAUGGGGAAGGAAAUUAAGUACGGAAGUUCCUGAUUUCACGCUGUCAAGAAAAGCCUCUAGGAAGAGUAGUACUGCCCGUACCGCAAACCGACACAGGUAGAUGAGGAGAGAAUCCUAAGGUGAGCGAGAGAACUCUCGUUAAGGAACUCGGCAAAAUGACCCCGUAACUUCGGGAGAAGGGGUGCUCUAUUAGGGUGCAAGCCCGAGAGAGCCGCAGUGAAUAGGCCCAGGCGACUGUUUAGCAAAAACACAGGUCUCUGCAAAACCGUAAGGUGACGUAUAGGGGCUGACGCCUGCCCGGUGCUGGAAGGUUAAGAGGAGUGCUUAGCUUCGGCGAAGGUACGAAUUGAAGCCCCAGUAAACGGCGGCCGUAACUAUAACGGUCCUAAGGUAGCGAAAUUCCUUGUCGGGUAAGUUCCGACCCGCACGAAAGGCGCAACGAUCUGGGCACUGUCUCAACGAGAGACUCGGUGAAAUUAUAGUACCUGUGAAGAUGCAGGUUACCCGCGACAGGACGGAAAGACCCCGUGGAGCUUUACUGCAACCUGAUAUGGAAUGUUUGUACCGCUUGUACAGGAUAGGUAGGAGCCGAAGAGACGUGUGCGCUAGCAUACGAGGAGGCAAUGGUGGGAUACUACCCUGGCUGUAUGACCAUUCUAACCCGCCACGCUUAGCGCGUGGGGAGACAGUGUCAGGUGGGCAGUUUGACUGGGGCGGUCGCCUCCUAAAGAGUAACGGAGGCGCCCAAAGGUUCCCUCAGAAUGGAUGGAAAUCAUUCGCAGAGUGUAAAGGCACAAGGGAGCUUGACUGCGAGACUGACAAGUCGAGCAGGGACGAAAGUCGGGCUUAGUGAUCCGGUGGUUCCGCAUGGAAGGGCCAUCGCUCAACGGAUAAAAGCUACCCCGGGGAUAACAGGCUUAUCUCCCCCAAGAGUCCACAUCGACGGGGAGGUUUGGCACCUCGAUGUCGGCUCGUCGCAUCCUGGGGCUGUAGUCGGUCCCAAGGGUUGGGCUGUUCGCCCAUUAAAGCGGCACGCGAGCUGGGUUCAGAACGUCGUGAGACAGUUCGGUCCCUAUCCGUCGCGGGCGCAGGAAAUUUGAGAGGAGCUGUCCUUAGUACGAGAGGACCGGGAUGGACACACCGCUGGUGUACCAGUUGUUCCGCCAGGAGCAUCGCUGGGUAGCUAUGUGUGGCAGGGAUAAACGCUGAAAGCAUCUAAGCGUGAAGCCCCCCUCAAGAUGAGAUUUCCCAUUUCUUCGGAAAGUAAGAUCCCUGAAAGAUGAUCAGGUAGAUAGGUUUGGAGUGGAAGUGUAGCGAUACAUGGAGCGGACAAAUACUAAUCGAUCGAGGACUUAACCAAAA
rnacentral:rRNA from 1 species